rnacentral:rRNA from 1 species
UACGAGGGGGGGCGAGCGUUUGUUCGGAAUUAUUGGGCGUAAAGGGCGCGUAGGCGGUUGGAUAAGUCUUGUGUGAAAUCUUCGGGCUCAACUCGAAGUCUGCACGAGAAACUAUCUGGCUUGAGUGUGGGAGAGGUGAGUGGAAUUCCUGGUGUAGCGGUGAAAUGCGUAGAUAUCAGGAGGAACACCAAUAGCGAAGGCAGCUCGCUGGGACGGUACUGACGCUA